CUACGGGUUGCUGCAGGCGCGAAAACUUUACAAUGGCUGAAAGGCCGAUAAGGGAAUCCAGAGUGACAUACCACAAGUAUGUCUUUUAGCAAGUGAAAACAGCUUGCAGAAUAAGUAGUGGGUAAGACGGGUGCCAGCCGCCGCGGUAAUACCCGCGCUACAAGUGGGGAGCGCGUUUAUUGGGCCUAGAGAAUCCGUAGCUGGCUUCAUAAAUUUUCAGUUAAAUCCGUAAUUAACUUACGGGCCGCUGGAAAAACUGUGGAGCUUGGGACCGGGAGAGGUUGGAGGUAUUUCUGGGGUAGGGGUAAAAUCCUGUAAUCCGAGAAGGACCACCUGUGGCGAAAGCGUCCAACUUGAACGGCUCUGACAGUGAGGGAUGAAAGCUUGGGGAGCAAACGGGAUUAGAUACCCCUGUAGUC
rnacentral:rRNA from 1 species